UUGCAAAAGUCCAGCGAAGCACUGGUCACCUGGUUCAGGAGUUCAACCCCAUUUUUAACUAUUGACGUUAACAUGCAGAAACAGAAUCAGGCCCCAGAAAAAGAUAAUAUACCUGCUAAGGAAGUAGUAUGUAAUCAAUAGAGGAAAGUAAUCAAAUAACAACUAUGAACUCUGGACAAAACACAGUAAAGUAUCUGAAAGCACUCGAGAAUUAACAUCAACAGAUUCUAGAGAAUACAAAAAUGACUUGCAGAUGUGAUUAUAGUACCACUAGCUUCCCUUUAUUUGGAGAGAUGAUGAAAAUGGCAGAGUGUUAUUCACACAUGAAGCUCAAGAUGGUCCCUGAUGAUAUGUCACAGAGAUUCCUAAGGUACUCUUUUGUAAAGAAUGACUAGACAGAAAAUACUUCCUUAGUUCUGUAACAAGCAAUGAUUCCUGGAGUGGGAAAUGUUCUUGUGGGACCAGAGCUCAGUUGCAGCCUUUGCAGACUAAUGCUCCUGAUAUUAACAAGAGGUCUUGUGUUAACCCAACGAUCUAACUCCAGCCUGGUGAACCUGAUCUUUGGAACUAUUAGGGGGGAAGAUAAAAAGCCAGGGAACUGGGGAGAUGCCAAAGUAAUCACUUUCUGCUUGCUCAAGUUUGCCUGCAGUUUUCAAUUGGAUGCAGUGCCUUCCAUUUCCC
rnacentral:lncRNA from 1 species